CACGCAGGCGGUUUGUUAAGUCAGAUGUGAAAGCCCUGGGCUCAACCUGGGAACUGCAUUUGAAACUGGCAAAAUAGAGUAUGAGAGAGAGAAGUGGAAUUCCACAUGUAGCGGUGAAAUGCGUAGAGAUGUGGAGGAACAUCAGUGGCGAAGGCGACUUCUUGGCUCAAUACUGACGCUCAGGUGCGAAAGCGUGGGGAGCAAACAGGAUUAGAUACCCUGGUAGUCC
rnacentral:rRNA from 1 species